rnacentral:tRNA from 1 species
GGGUCGUUAGCUCAGUUGGUAGAGCAGUUGACUUUUAAUCAAUUGGUCGCAGGUUCGAAUCCUGCACUCGUCU